rnacentral:lncRNA from 1 species
AGAUCAGGGCAUGUACAUUUUGUAGACUUAUUCCCAGAUGAGCCAUAACAAAUAGCUAAAGCAUACUUUCCACUGGUGGCAAAUUGCUCCUGGGAAACAUACUGAUUCACUUGUGGAUUAAAAACACAGCAGUUAGAAUCACUUUCAUAUAGGCUAACUUCACAGCUCUUGAUAGUGAAGAGAAAUUUUUUUUUUUUUUUUUUUAGCUUUCAAAAGAUUCAUAGAUGUCUCCCUAUUUCUUUGAACUGUCAUUAUGUUUAAAUGGGGUCAGAAAACUACCAAAAAUGUUUAAAUCAUGCGUUCCUGAUGCAAACAUCAGUAGUCUCUUGUCUUUUACUAACUACAUUUAAACAUACCAGAGAUGAAAUUGUUGGACUAUGAGAUUACAAUCCCUUUUGACGGGUUAAUAAUCUUGCUUAUUAAUAGAAACAAUUCAGACCAGAAUUCUACCUUGCAAUUUUGCUAUGGGAAGUGUAGGCAAGAUUUCACCAAGAACAAAACAAUCUCGCAAACCAAUUUGAAUGAUCUGAGAGCUGUGUUUGCUUAAUGUACAGUUUAGUAGUGGUAUCACGCUUUGGCUCUGUUGUCCUUUCUUUGAACUCAAGGGUAGGCUUGGGGGAUGUUAUUGGAACCACAUGCUUUCAUUCAGGUUGACGGUUUUCUUCAGAAGACAUAGUAGGGUCUUCAUGAUUUGUCUCAGGUUGCAAGUCAGCUGUCCAAUGAUGAAGAAUCAUCUAUAUGUUUCAGUGGGUUUAGGCUUAAAAAACACUCUCAAGAUAUUAAUUUGCCAUUGUUUUAGGUAUAAAAGUGAAAUAUUCCAAAACAUGAUAUGUUAAAGUUUACAGUGGAAAUAUUUUCAAAUACAACUAGGUGGUUGAAUUUUCAUAGUAUAAUGCUUUUUCUCAUUUUUAUCAUGGAAAAGCACAAAUAUUUUAAAUAUUUUUGUGUUUGUUUUUACCAAGGAAAAACCACUCGAAAAGCAAGAGGGCAGUUUGAUGUCUAAAAUGGAAAGGGUAAAUUGCUGCCCUAUCACAUAAGUGGCUUUUGUAGGUUGGAAGUGAAAAAUAUUUUUAAUUUAAAAGUGAAUUUGGAGAUCUGAGCAUGCUCACUGUACAUCACUUUAAAAUUAUUAAAGUAGUUUGAUUUAAUAGAGUGAAUCUUCUCAGGCUGAGGAGUACUUCACUUUGCACUGCAAAAGCUCAGAUGUUAGAACCCGAUCACUUCCCAGAUGAAGAGCUUAUAAAAAAAUGUGAAGUACUCUAAUAAUUUUAAAUUACUCUAUAUUGCACAUUUUCAGGUCUCUGAUCACCUCCAAAUUCAAGUGCUUAUAAAACUGCUCCCAUAAUUUUAAAUUGCUAUGUGCACAGUGAUUUAAAAUUGUGAGAGUGCUUCAAAGUUUUUUAAUAAGUGCUUUAAUUUAGAAGUGAGUUGAGCAAUACUCCAGUAUAACUUCAAGAAUUUAUUAAACCGAUAUAAAAAUUUAUCCUCUGGAAAGAAAAUUACAUUACGUAUAAAAGGGUGAGGCUCCAAAUGAAUAUAUAUGAGGAUGAAAGUACCAAAUGCUCAGGAACAAUCAGUAAAUGAAAUGAGAUCAUGGGGUCGUAGGUGGGGGGUUUGUUUGGUUAAUUUUGUUCACUGCUUGCCUGAGGCUAGCGUUCUUGAAAAUCUAACAGAAAGGGAAGGAAGGAAGAGAGAGCCUGGUGGGAGAGUUUAUCCCUAAGACAUCUUUCCCCACUUGUCAGUAAGGUAGCUCCUGGACCCGCCUGACUCCUGAAUUUCUCAUUUUUCAGAGGUAAACAUGGCACAUUUUAAAUUGUACUCAGGGAUGAGGGAAAUGGUUUUCAUUAAAAACAGAAUUCCUUUCAUAAACCAAUAGAUCUAGUCACCCUAGGAAAAGCAUGUAGAUUUGGUUUUCUGACCACGAUACCCCAUUAUUAUUACAAUGCAUGAGGUGAUUUGACCUUAAACGGGCUACCAUCCUACAUGGAUCUAGUCUUACACUACCUGCUUGGGGAAUAAAAUAUCUUGAGUUGUGCUAGCUGCGACCAGCUUUUCCAUGGCUUCUCCGGCUUAUUUUCCAUGCUGUUCAGGUAAACAUGGUGGUCCCCUUUGACUGAGUCACCGAUUUUGUCUGACUGCACCAGCUGAUGUGUCUGAAAUAUCAAACCGUUUGACAGGGACAUGAGGCCUCUCAUGUACUGAACUAGAAUUUUAUAAUGUCUUUGAUUAAGAACAUGAACUUGAAACACAGGAACCAUAAGGAUGUUCUUUUGUCCAGUCGUGAAAAGAUGGGGAUUUAUAAUGUAUGGUGAUUCUUUGCACAUUUUGUGAAACCCCCAUAGCCUUCCUUACAGGGAAAAAGGCAUUUACAGUUACUAAGUUGAAGAUGAAAUAAAAGUCAAUUGACUGCAUGUUUCAGCAGUUCCUACCUCAGAAUGGAAAAUUACAUACAUCAUUGGGUUCUAAAGUGUAAUAAAUGGGUGGAUGUUAGUUCUUGUUUCUCACUUUGCUAUAAAUAUUACUGUGCCUCAAAAUAUUUGAAGUAAUUCUCAUCUUCAUUUUUGCUGUAUGUAAAUAUUCUUGAAAAUGACUCUUAUCUUCCUAUAUUUUUUUAAAUAUAGGAGAUUAGUCUCUGUCUAUAACACAGGGAAACAAGACUUUCUGAAAUAUCCCGGAUACAUAUAUAAAGGACAGAAAGGUUGUAUGUGAGACCUUGAAAAGAAUGUGAUUUUUUUAUGACAAUUUAUCAUUUAUCCUGGAUCAACAUUUUCUAGCACUCUUCUAGCUUUGCUAAAGCAAAUUGUGUUUUAUGUCCCCAGCAGAAUACUCGAUAACUGGUCUGGCGAUGAUGAGGCAUAAUAGGAGUUAUCUGGUCCCAGGAAAGUCAUUGGUUUGCGUUCACUGCCAGAGUCUGGUUAUCAUUGCAGGGCAGGAUUAUCUCAUUGUUUUCUGCUGCCAUGAUUUUGUUUUGACUUCUCAAAUCUCCACAGAACACUCAUUUAGAAAACCCUCCACAGUGGUUUGUUCUUACUGGGGAAACGAAGGCAGUGGGGAGGGAAGGACAGAAGGAUUUCCUUUCUUUUUCUGAGUCCGUCCUGGGCAGAGAGUAAGAUGCAGUUUUUUCUUAGCGUUGUCAGUGCAAGCCUAGCCCUUUCACUGCCCAGUUUAUUACUCCUAUGCAUCGCCUUAAGAUAUUGCUCCAAAGAUCAAUACCCUGAUUUCCUUUCCAUCUGCCUAGACUAAGAUAAUUAGGCUCUUUACUUCAUUUUGUAUGUAAUGAAGGCGGCAACUCGUGAUAGUAGAGGAAAAAAGCUAUCUCCCUAUGGUAAAUGUAUUGACAUUUACAGAUACCAGCGGAGCACAACAUGAGGAGAGUAAUGAGAAAUUUCACUGCUUUCCCCUCUUUCUCUGUUUCCUGGCUAGAUCCCACAGCGAAUCACUAGCUGCAAAGAGAAGGGACGGCUUAGGGACCGACAAUUGAGAGCAUUUACAAUUAGCUGCAUUGAUUAACCUUUACAAAUGCUGUUACUUUAUGAGGUGUUUUUCUCAGCCCUGGUUGAACAGUAUGCGUUAUUGAUUCAACAUACUCCUUUACGAAAGCCCUGAUUUGUCCGUGACUCCACCAGUCAUAAUGCCUGCCUUGGUAGUCGUUUCUGCAUGUUCUCGGGAAAACUUGACACGGAAGACUGAUUGGCAUUAUGUAAAUGGGGUCCACAUCUUCCUUUAGGAAGGGUGUACAGCCGGCAGAAACCAGGGCGUAGACCUGCCUCCCUUCAUCCCCAUCGCCAGGCGCAGACACAAAGGAUGCCAGCCUCGCGCCAGCCGCUUACUGCUGCCCAAUUCACAGCAUCACUCCUAAUAAGCGGCCUGCAGGAGGAAAAGAGCCUCAGACACUCCUCCAUCUCCUCUGUAUUCCCUGGUUUUUAUUUAGGUUUCCUGAAAUAAUUUGGAGUGUGUGUGCAUGCGUGUGUGUAUGUGUGAAAGAGAGAGAGAGGGAGGGAGAGAGAGAGUUUGUGUAAGGGAAAGGGGUGGUGGGAAAUUGUCCAAAAAAUUGUUUUUAGCUUAAUUUUCUUCGAAGAUUGUAGACCGACUUUGAUUGCCGCUUUGGCUGGUGAUUCCAAAAUCUAUGGUGGAAGGCAUUUUCCUUUCAUCAGUUUGAUUCAGAGAAGCUCAGUGCUUAGAAAUAAUAAAUAUCACCUAGAAAUGGCUGCCUUCCACCCCUCCUGCCCCAUAGAACUAUAUGAAUAUAAAUUGAAUACUAUUUUCUUUUUCUUCCUCUCUUGCUUCCCUCUCUCCCCAUUUCUUCCUUUGAGCCUUCCCUUAUUCUUCAUUUCAAGGUGUACAUUAGUAUCAUCUGAAAGAUAAAAGGACUAAAAGCUUGAAAUACUACAGAGUAAAUCCAUCAGCUGUUCUGUCAGGAUUCCUAAAAUGUAUUCUGCACCCAAGACCAGUUAUAUGAUAUGCAGUGCAAAAUAAAGAUGCAGGGCCCCUUGUUCAUAAAUUAUUAAAAAUUUCUAAACAGUAACAGCAGAGUGUUAAACCCAGCUCUGUUCCUCUAAGAAUGAGGCUUGUGUGAUUGCACAGAUCACACACCCAGGAAGUAGGCCCUGCCAUCAUCUUUGCCAACAGUUAUUUCUGAAAAGAUAGUAGGAGACAGGGGCCUGGGUGGGGGGAAGGUAGUAUUUGUUUUCUUUCCCAACUCGAGUUUAAACUUCUCUAUUGUGAGACUCAUUUUUUCUGGAUCAUGCCAAAUUGCAUAUGCUCCUUUAUGACUUGAAAUGCCACUUAGUUGGGUUUGAACUGAGAGCACCGCCUUUAUGCCCAUCUUCUGCAUAGCAGAUUCCAGCGACUUGAAGCACUUUUUCCAUGCCAGAAUUCUGAGACUGGAGUAUUUGUCACUUUGCGCUUCCAGGAACGGCUGAAAAAAGUUUAUUUUGCUUUAUGUGAUUAAACUGAAUGUUUGUCUUGAUGCAAAUGCAUAUACAUGUGCAUUUAUUCUAAUAUACAUAUCCAAACACAUGGGAUUUUUUUUUCCCGUACAUACAUGUGCAUAACAGAAUUGAGUUUAUGGUUUUCCAAGACACAGCUGAACAAUGAUGGAAGACAGCCAUUUUUUUUUUUAAUGAAGAGUUGAUGCAUUUUUAAAGGAAAAAAAUCAGGAAGCUGCUCUAACAGACUCUGCAGCAUUCACAGCAUGACAAACAAAUUAGAAAACAGCAGAUGCAGCACAAAUUAAGAUGUAUUUAGCACAGCAGCCCAUCAGAUGUGUGAACGUCUUUUGUAACUCAGCUUUGCAAGGUUGAUGUAUUGCACUUUAGACAGCUGAUAAUGAACCCUCCUAGCAAUUAGAAGUGGAAAUACUGAGGAGUCAAAAUUGUGCUGUUCCCAGUGGGC